rnacentral:lncRNA from 1 species
GCCCCAAGACACAUAGUUCAAUCUCUGCAGCCUCUGUAGGACCACACCUGCAGCCCUGUCUCCCAGGCAGCUCCAGGCCAGCCUUUCAGCCUCAAAGUUAUUUUGGACACAGUGUUUUUGAAUGCUUUGGAGGUACUGGAUACUCCCUUAAUUUGAACCCCGUGGAGUGAACUUGGCUCCUCCCCUACACUCAAAGUCCUCUGGGGAAGCACAUGCUUUUUGCAUGGCUCCCAUGUGCAGCAGUUUACUGGCUUGUCUUUACUAUCUCCUACAUUUCCAGGGAGCUCAGGGUCAUUGUACUUCUAUUGACACUGAAGGCCACAAGAAACCUUGGAGAGUGCAAAGAAUGCCACUCAUCCUCCCUGGGCCCUGGGCUUUUAUCCCUGCCUCUGCUGCCCCCGCAGAGGUUUCCUCAGCUCUCCUGGCUCUGAGCAGCCUCAGAUCCUGCAUCUGAGUAGGAAGUUGAAGAAGCUUCCAGGGGUCUCCCGCCAGCCCCCGUGGGCAGAGAGGCUGGAUCACACCUGCAGCAGGCACAUUCUGCUGGUUGUGCGCCUGCCUGGCUGAGCCCCUUCAGAGGGUGCUUCUGCAGCAGGAGGUUCCUUCUGU